GACGAACGCUGGCGGCGUGCCUAAUACAUGCAAGUAGGACGCAGUUGCGAACGGGUGAGUAACGCGUAGGUAACUACCUAUUAGAGGGGGAUAACUAUUGGAAACGAUAGCUAAUACCGCAUACUAGUAGAUGGACCUGCGUUGUAUUAGCUAGUAGGUAGGGUAAUGGCCUACCUAGGCAACGCUACAUAGCCGACCUGCUAGGGUGAUCGGCCACCCUGUGACUGGGACACGUCCCAGACCCCUACGGGAUGCAGCAGUAGUGACUCUUCGGCAAUGGGGGGAACCCUGACCGAGCAACUCCGCGUGAUUGAAGAAGGUUUUCGGAUCGUAAAGCUCUGUUGUUAAGUAAGCGUUACUUAACCAGAAAGGGACGGCUAACUACGUGCCAGCAGCCGCGGUAAUAC
rnacentral:rRNA from 1 species